CUCAUUGUGUGACCAAUAAUUAAUGUAACAUGCUUAGAGAAAUUAUGUUCAAAAAUUCCAUUAGUCACUAAAAUUAUGCUUGUUCACUAUAGAGAAUUCAGACCACAUAGAAAUACAUAGAAUGAAAAGUAUACUCCACAUUCCCGAUAACAUUGUCUUUAACACUUUUGUGUACAUUUCUUCAAUCUUUAUUCCUUAUACAUAGUCUAAUAUUAACUAUUGUUAUCAAUGCUAUAAUACUGUUUUGCAUCUUUACACUGAACAGAAUGUUGCGAAGAAACUUCCGUGUCAGUACAUAUAGGCUUACCUCACUGGUUUUUUUUUUUUAGAUAAGAAGUAGGUUUAUCAAUAUAGGAUACUUGUGAAGGAUAGAAGCAGGCAGGCAAGAGAGCUCCUCCCCAAGAACUAAGUGGGCUACAUUUUUAUAACAAAAGGAAAAGUGGGGAGGGAGAGAAAACCACCUUCUUCUGCUUCCUUUGUAAAGCUAUUGCAGGAAAAUUGGUCCCAAGGGGAUGGUCAUGUCCCAGGUCUCUGACAAGUUCCUGGGAUGGGCCCCCAAGUGAGAAUCCUUGGCUUUACACAGGAAAUAAUUCAAGAGCAAGCCAUAGAAAACAAAGCAGAGAUGCACAUUCCAUGGGCAGCAUGUGGGCCAUCUUAGAAGGCAGGAGCAGCUUACUUCACUGUUUUUAAAGGCUAUAUAGUGUUCCAUUGUGUGUCCAUUCCUUAAUUUACCUAACCAGGCCCCUAUAUAUGAGCCAACAGUCUUUUACUAGGACAUUCUAGAACAUACAUUUUUGCACUGUGAGAGUAUUUUGUAAGAAAUAGAAAUGCCGAGUUGAAAGUGUGAAAAGUUUUCAUUUUAAUAGAGUUUGCUAAAUUAUUCUUUGAAAUUUCUUAUUGAUUUAUCCUUCCCCACUUUCCUUCCCACAAUAUAGGCCCAGAAAACAGAAGACAACCUAUUCACAUUUCAAAGCAUAGUAGAUGAUGUAUUUGUUAUCAUUGAAAAUGCACAUUGAUAAGAGCCAUGAAGACUGGGAGCUUGAUCAGCAGUGUUUCUGUGCUUGCGAGGUCAACCUGAACCCCUGGGAGCCUGCCUUCUGUGACCGUCACACCAGCAGACAGCUGCACUGUGAGUCCCGACCUGCGAUCUCAGUGACACUGCCCAGGAACCCACACAGUUCCUCUUGGGUGUUGGGCACCUGUUCCCACCUAAGCUGUUCUCCACUGUCCCUUAAUCUAUCUUCUCUCUGA
rnacentral:lncRNA from 1 species